AAUUCAGUAGGUUAAGUUUAAACUUUUUAGUUUGCAUCUAUUAGAUAUAUUUUAUUUGGAUUU
rnacentral:tRNA from 1 species